rnacentral:rRNA from 1 species
GAUGAACGCUGGCGGCGUGCCUAAUACAUGCAAGUCGAGCGAACAGACGAGGAGCUUGCUCCUCUGACGUUAGCGGCGGACGGGUGAGUAACACGUGGAUAACCUACCUAUAAGACUGGGAUAACUUCGGGAAACCGGAGCUAAUACCGGAUAAUAUAUUGAACCGCAUGGUUCAAUAGUGAAAGACGGUUUUGCUGUCACUUAUAGAUGGAUCCGCGCCGCAUUAGCUAGUUGGUAAGGUAACGGCUUACCAAGGCAACGAUGCGUAGCCGACCUGAGAGGGUGAUCGGCCACACUGGAACAGAGACACGGUCCAGACUCCGACGGGAGGCAGCAGUAGGGAAUCUUCCGCGAUGGGCGAAAGCCUGACGGAGCAACGCCGCGUGAGUGAUGAAGGUCUUCGGAUCGUAAAACUCUGUUAUUAGGAAAGAACAAAUGUGUAAGUAACUGUGCUCGUCUUGACGGUACCUAAUCAGAAAGCCACGGCUAACUACGUG